CCACCAUGUAAGCCGUGCCUGCUUCCUCUUCUGCCAUGAUUGUAAGUUUCCUGAGGACUGCUCAGCAAUAAAACUAUGCCAGCACCACACUCUUGGACUUCUCAGCCUCCAGAAAUGAUGACCCUUGACAGAUGCUGGCACCAUGCUCUUGGAUCUCUCAGCUUCCAUAACUGUAAG